rnacentral:rRNA from 1 species
UACGAAGGGUGCAAGCGUUACUCGGAAUUACUGGGCGUAAAGCGUGCGUAGGUGGUGAGUUAAGUCUGUCGUGAAAGCCCCGGGCUCAACCUGGGAAUGGCGAUGGAUACUGGCUCGCUAGAGUGCGGUAGAGGAGAGUGGAAUUCCCGGUGUAGCAGUGAAAUGCGUAGAGAUCGGGAGGAACAUCAGUUGCGAAGGCGGCUCUCUGGACCAGCACUGAUACUGAGGCACGAAAGCGUGGGGAGCAAACAGG